UUUGCUUAGCAUAAUACCCUCUAGACCCAUCCAUGUUGUCACAAAUGGCUUCAUCAGUAACUCCUAACCUCAGUAUAUGAGGAGGAAAAGCAUAUGAAUGACUGGUAAAUGACUGAACAGAAUGGAGGAAGGUCUCAUCCCAAGUGCUCACAAAAGAAGACCAAUGAAAAAAAGCCAGCUCCCAGACCCAAGUUGACCCCACGGAGGAACAGGUCCUGUCUUCAAUGGUCAUUUGAACACGAUUUCAUCCAGAUUCUUUCUUUCGAGGUAAGAGGGUUGCAAGUGGUUGCCUCUGCUGUGGUGUUGUCCCAGACAUUGCUGUUACUCAUAAGACAUGAAGAGUUAUUUGACUUUUGGAAGCGGGGGUAAUGGUGG